UGCAGAAGUUUGUGUUCUUUGAGGUA
rnacentral:piRNA from 1 species